AUGAACGCUGGCGGCGUGCCUCAUACAUGCAAGUCGAGCGAACAGACGAGGAGCUUGCUCCUCUGACGUUAGCGGCGGCCGGGUGAGUAACACGUGGAUAACCUACCUAUAAGACUGGGAUAACUUCGGGAAACCGGAGCUAAUACCGGAUAAUAUAUUGAACCGCAUGGUUCAAUAGUGAAAGACGGUUUUGCUGUCACUUAUAGAUGGAUCCGCGCCGCAUUAGCUAGUUGGUAAGGUAACGGCUUACCAAGGCAACGAUGCGUAGCCGACCUGAGAGGGUGAUCGGCCACACUGGAACUGAGACACGGUCCAGACUCCUACGGGAGGCAGCAGUAGGGAAUCUUCCGCAAUGGGCGAAAGCCUGACGGAGCAACGCCGCGUGAGUGAUGAAGGUCUUCGGAUCGUAAAACUCUGUUAUUAGGGAAGAACAAAUGUGUAAGUAACUAUGCACGUCUUGACGGUACCUAAUCAGAAAGCCACGGCUAACUACGUG
rnacentral:rRNA from 1 species